AAUAGAUACCCUGGUAGUCCACGCCCUAAACGAUGUCUACUAGUUGUUGGUGGAGUAAAAUCCAUUAGUAACGCAGCUAACGCGUGAAGUAGACCGCCUGGGGAGUACGGUCGCAAGAUUAAAAACUCAAAGGAAUUGACGGGGGGCCCGCACAAGCGGUGGAUUAUGUGGAUUAAUUCGAUGCAACGCGAAAAACCUUACCUGGCCUUGACAUGCCACUAACGAAGCAGAGAUGCAUUAGGUGCCCGAAAGGGAAAGUGGACACAGGUGCUGCAUGGCUGUCGUCAGCUCGUGUCGUGAGAUGUUGGGUUAAGUCCCGCAACGAGCGCAACCCUUGCCAAUAAUUGCCAUCAUUCAGUUGGGCACUUUAUUGGGACUGCCGGUGACAAACCGGAGAAGGUGGGGAUGACGUCAAGUCCUCAUGGCCCUUAUGGCCAGGGCUUCACACGGUAAUCAAAUGGUCGGUACAGAGGGUAGCCAAGCCGCGAGUGGAGCCAAUCCCGAGAAAGCCGAUCGUAGUCCGGAUUGCAGUC
rnacentral:rRNA from 1 species